CACUCCGGUGGCCUAGUGGAUAGAGUGUCCGCCCAGGAUGCGGGAGAUCGUGGGAUCUAUCCCCGGUCGAGUCA